AUAAGAAGGAACCGGCAAACAAGCACGGUUCCGCCAAAGGCAUCGCGGUCUGAGUCUUGGGAGGAAGCCCCCUCUGGCGCGCCGUAAGGCUGCUGCCGCCGGGCUCAUAUAAUGAGUUCGACAAGCCAAUCGGGCGAAAAGCUCGGCUUGAGGGGUUAGGACGCGAACUGAGAAGGGCAAGGCUCAACGCCUUGCCCUUUUUU
rnacentral:sRNA from 1 species